ensembl:lncRNA
ACAGCACUACAGGCUUAAGAUAUACAGCAUGAUGACUUAGGUACAUCACUGAAGUGACCAUCAUAGUAAGUUUAGUGAACAGCCAUCAUCUCAUAUAAACAGAAAAUGAAAGAAAUAGAAAAAAAAAAGUUGUUUUCCUUGUGAUGAGAUAGUCUUUCUUUUCAAACUGUCCUCACUUCUUUCUACUGAAAAACCUAGCCUGGAGGUUUUUCUCACUCUAUCAUGGAAAGGCAGUUACUGGCCAGCUGCGUAUCACUAUCACACAGACGCAGAAGAUAACGCACAGUCCAUGCAGUGUAACGUGGCCACACCUGCUAGGUGUCUGCUGGAAAGUGCACCAGGUGGAUGGAGGGGAAGGGCAAAGGCCUUGAGGUGGGAGCAGGCUGGUGAGGCUGGAGUGGAAGUGCUGGGGAUAAGGGUGUAAGAGAGGAUGAUUCCAACGUUUUUGAAGUAAUGAAAGAAUGGAAUUGACAUUUGCUAAUUUGGGUUAAAUGGGCUUCCCUGGUAGCUCAGUGGUGAAGAACCUGCCUGCAGUGUAGGAGACAGGGAUCUGAUCUCGGAGUCAGGAAGAUCCCCUGGAGAAGGAAAUGGCAACCCACUACAGUAUUCUUGCCUGGGAAAUCCCAUGGACAGAAGAGACUGGCAGGUUACAUAUUCUAUGGCAUCACAAAGAGCUGGACACGACUUGUCGACUAAACAAUAGCAUGAGUUAGGUAGGGAAAGAGGCAGGUUUUGCCUGUAAGUUUUAUGAUGAUUUCAGGUUGGAAGCACCUGGCCAGGGAUCCAGCAGUAACCCAGGUGCUUUAUAUAUAUUAUCUCCACGGUGCAGAUAAGGAAAUCGGGAUCCAAAAGUCAGGUGUCCUUGGGUCUCAGAAGACCUUUUACAUACUUCUCAUGUAUGCAGAAGUGUUGAGAUUUGAAUCCAAGCUGCUUUUCCAAGGGUUUGUCACUGAAGAAGGAGCUGAGAGAGGAUGUGCCUGAAGGUGGAAAAGCCAAUACUGUUUUGGAUAAGGUCUGUGUUCCAUGAAUACAGGAAGAAUUAAGAGUAAGGAAGAAAGAAAUGCAGAAACAUCACCUGAAUACUUGCCUACCCCCUGGAAAAGUUCAAGGCUCUUGCUCAUUUUAUGAAUUUUCCCCAAGCCACUGGUUCUCAUACAUCUUCAGACAUCUGAUCAAGGAAGCAUCAGAGGAAAAUAAAAAGUACGUGGAGGUGAAGCUCUGUCCGCUUUCCACGGCGCAAACGUGGAUUUGGGGAGCCGAGAAGAGCAACCCCACUUCUCACCCAAACUCGUGGAGAUCAGGGAUUAGGCGGGCGCAGGGUUCGGCGAGGCGGAUCCGGGAAGCGCCCGGCCCAGGCAGCGAGGCCCCUCCAGCGUUGGUCCGCGACCCAGGGCGCCGGCCCAACCGCUCUGCUGGGGCCGGUCCCGCGGGGCGGGGGCCGAUUUUACGAAGACGGCUGCGGGGUCUCCGGGACUCCGGCCCAGCCGGGUCAGACCUCCCCUCGCGUCGCGGUGCGUCCGUCGGCGCCGCCCGUCAGCCCGCCCUCAGCCGCCCGGCGAGGCGGCGGCCUCCUUCGCC